UCCAUUCUGUAAUCCUACUGGAGGCCUGU
rnacentral:piRNA from 1 species